rnacentral:misc_RNA from 1 species
GGUGCCACCCCUGAAUGCUAGAUGAGAAAAAACUUUUAACAAAAAUCCAAUAAAGUAUGAACACCAAAAAAGACCAGAUCAUAACCACAGAAUAACAAGCCUUGAUAACUUGAAAGGAUCCCCUCAAAAGCCAUAAAGAAAAAAAUAAUCAAAUUACUCCAAUAGAAGACCCAUUAACCCAUCUUCAAAUCCCUUACUACACCUUUAUGACAUAAUCUUCUCUACAUAUCUAACCAACCAUUCAACUCUGUUCAAUUCUUACUCCUUCUUUCCCACUUUGCUACAUUUGAUUUUUACUUGCUAACAAUUCGUGUUCCUCUCUCUUCGUCCAUUAACAUCUCAAACACCUUCACUAUCCCAUCACCAUAACCCCAUAUACAAAACAACCAAGCGCUUGCUAACAUCCUUAAUUUUUAUGAAGCAGGAAUUUUGAGAGUUAAUCUGAAACUUCUUUAGAAUCCGUGACUUUGAAUACCCCAACCUAGUUUCCACCUCUUUUUUGCCGCCAAAACUUAACUAUCAGUACUGAUAACAAACUUAGUAUAUUUGAAUAUAAUGCCAAAUGACUUGUGAUAGAUUUUUGGAUACAACAGCAAGCAUCUAAAACUUAUAGGAAAGGGAAAAUCUAAACAGCAGUGAUUAUACAAAGGCAAGAAAACUGUAUGACAUCUGAGUAUUUGUAAAAACUGGCAAUGCGCAUAACAGUAGCAAAAGGGGCACCCAAAAAGAAGCAGCAUGAU